rnacentral:lncRNA from 1 species
GCUGAUCUCAAGUUGGAGCUUUCUGAAGUGAUGAAGUCAGCUCUGAGAGUACUCUAGUACUCCACUGCCCAAGCUGAGACUCCCACUGCCUGGACUUUUGUUUUGGCUUGUUAUCAUCUGGCCCGUACCACUCUGGGGCUGUCACAGCUAGGCCACGCUAAGUCACAUGGUACAGAACUUCCUCAUACGCCUUUGCAAAUUGGAGUCAGAAACCCCCUCGGUUUGUGGGAUUUGAGGCUCUUUCCUUCGGACUCCCUACCACACGGCGGCUGUCUCACAGGUCCUCUGGGCUUGACUCUCUCCCUUCAGGAAAGCAUCGCGCUGUCUGGUGUGAUGGUCUUCUUCCGAGCUCUCCAACCUCACUCAAGACUUCAGCAUGCCCUGCCCCAUCUCCAAAAUCUCUCUUCCAGUAAAGCCUAAGG